rnacentral:rRNA from 1 species
UACGUAGGAUGCAAGCGUUGUCCGGAAUUAUUGGGCGUAAAGCGAGCGUAGGCGGUUUCUUAAGUUUGGUCUUAAAGACCGGGGCUCAACCCCGGGAAUGGAUCGAUAACUGGGAGACUGGAGGACGGCAGAGGAAAGUGGAAUUCCGAGUGUAGCGGUGAAAUGCGUAGAUAUUCGGAGGAACACCAGUGGCGAAAGCGACUUUCUGGGACGUUCCUGACGCUGAGGUGCGAAAGCUCGGGGAGCAAACAGG